rnacentral:rRNA from 1 species
GACGUAGGGCGCGAGCGUUGUCCGGAUUUAUUGGGCGUAAAGAGCUCGUAGGCGGCUUGUCGCGUCGACUGUGAAAACCCGCGGCUCAACUGCGGGCCUGCAGCCGAUACGGGCAGGCUAGAGUUCGGUAGGGGAGACUGGAAUUCCUGGAUGUAGCGGUGAAAUGACGCAGAUAUUAGGAGGAACACCGGUGGCGAAGGCGCUGACUCUGGGCCGAUACUGACGCUGAGGAGGCGAAAAG